UAAACUACGAUUAGAUACCCUAUUAUUUUAAAUGUAAAGUGUAUAAUGCCUGAGUAGUAAGAGUUAAGGUCUUGAAACUCAAAGAAUUUGGCGGUGUUUUAGUCCUUUCAGAGGAACCUGUCCCAUAAUCGAUAUUCCGCGUUAGACCUCUCUUAAUCUUGAAUUUCAGUCUGUAUACCGCCGUCGUCAGAAUGUCCUAGGAGGGUUUUAAUUUUCUUUAAUUUAAAUAUGAUAAAAAGAUGUCAGGUCAAGGUGCAGCCAAUGGUUAAGUGGAGAUGGGUUACAAUAAAUUUAUUUAAUACGGAGGGUUAUUUGCAACGAAUGGCUUGAAGGUGGAUUUGAAUGUAAAUUUAUAUAGUAUAUUAGAUUGAUUUUGGCUCUAGAACAUGCACACAUCGCCCGUCGCUCUUA
rnacentral:rRNA from 1 species